rnacentral:lncRNA from 1 species
UACAUUUUGAGGGGAAAAAAUCGAAAAAAAAAACAUUGGUAUUAUUGUUUUUUUCUCUCUCGUUAAAGUUUUUUCCUUCAGUCUCCAAUCACCCCUCUCUCUCCAACACCACCCACGCCGCCGAAGCAAUAAACGUGAUGGGUUCCCGGUGAGUCGGACAAACAAACUCCCACUGUGAUUGGGAGACAACAAAAUCUGUGAUUGGAUAAAUCUGGUGCACUAUUCUUUUCCGGUGAGUCGCACGAUGCAAAUCUAUUAUACCCAUCCUAUUUUUUUAGUAUUUUGUAGUUUUCCAAGAUGGUCAAGGGAAAACAAAAUGGCGUUCGACCCUUCCGACCAAAUUCCCAUUGUUCUGCUGCAAAAAAUUUAAAUCUGGAUAAAUUUUCAGAAUUCAAAUUUCACAGCGUAAAAAUCGUCACUGUAGUCCUUACAUUUAACAAAAUGGUGUGAUCUUAGUGUUUCACUAUACCUGUUUUUAGUUCAGUGAGGGACUAAAUCCGCAUUACUUUUAUAAGGAGUAAAGUAAUAAUAAUUUUAUAAGGAUAUCAUGAUAUUUUAAGACAAUAUAUUUAACUCAUCUUUUCAUUGAUGAUACUGGUGAAAAUUUGUGCAAUUACAAUGAAAUCAAUCGAUGGCGUUGGCUAAAAAAACACUUCUCAUGGAACUCAACUAAAUUGGAUCAAACAAUUAGAUGAUACAACUUGCAUGCCUUUUAAAUAUCAAAUUAUUGCCAGGGUUAUAACUUUCUUGUGAAGACAACAAUAGCUCACUACUUACAAUUACCAUGAGCUUGCAAUUGCAUGAGUCCUAGUGCCUAGUUACUUGGUUUAUUAUAGAAACCUUAGACUAAAGUUUUCUGUGUGUAGCACAAGCUGGAGCAUCAAAGUUGGGGUAUACAACAAAUGCAAUGGACAAAGGAGUCAUGUAUAUUGGAGAUCGCACGUUAUUGCGCACUGGAUCCAACGGUGGAAGAUCUCC